rnacentral:rRNA from 1 species
CAGCCGCCACGGGAAUACGUAGGUGGCAAGCGUUGUCCGGAAUUAUUGGGCGUAAAGGGCUUGCAGGCGGUUUCUUAAGUCUGAUGUGAAAGCCCCCGGCUCAACCGGGGAGGGUCAUUGGAAACUGGGAAACUUGAGUGCAGAAGAGGAGAGUGGAAUUCCACGUGUAGCGGCGAAAUGCGUAGAGAUGUGGAGGAACACCAGUGGCGAAGGCGACUCUCUGGUCUGUAACUGACGCUGAGGAGCGAAAGCGUGGGGAGCGAACAGGAUUAGAUACCCGCGUAGUCCCUGUCUCUUAUAC